GUAAUUUACCCCUGAAAUUUUAAGAUAGCAGACGAAGAGUCAUGCCUUAUUCCCUGUUCUUUCAUCAUCUUCUCCCAAUUUUGCCCCCCAAUUCAAUGGAUUACGCCCAUAAUCAAGCCUACACCUGAAUAAGAUGACUCAAAGCGUCACUGCAAUUAGUAAAACAAUCAAUUAGGUCACAUCAUUGAAAUCAAUUCUUGACGAUUGGAUGGCAGCAACCCUAAUUCUCCCGGUGAAGAAGACGAACCGCACAAACGACUAAGUUUUCAUCCAUUUAUAUCCAGUUUCAUCAGAUUGUUAUAAAGGAGAGGUGUGAGGUUUCCCUUCACCACCAUUGUCAUCACCGUCGUUGCCAACCCCACUACCACUGUCUGACGCGAUGGUUGUUGCUUGCAGACCGAUUGAAGAUGAACGAAGGCAAGAUUAUUCAACACAUUCGGCGGACCACAGGAAGGGCACCAGAUUCUUUAGAGGAAGCUCGAAAUAUUAAAGAGUGACUCUUCAUAAAUUGGCAGAUGGGUGGCGCGUAUGGAUCAGCUUCUAGGGAAAAACUUGGUUUGCAGGCAUGUCUUCUUUGGAUUAUUCGACAAUGAAGUGGAAGCUACAGGAGUCUUGUAAUUCUUUAAUUACAUAAUCUUUGAAAGUUAAUGUGUUUAAUGACAUUUCAGAUCAUCAUUUAACAAUGUAAUGGUAGGGAAGCCAUGACCAACUUUGAGUCAAGCAUCUACGGGGAAGAUAGAAGUUUGGAAGCCAUGAAUCAAGUUGAAGGCCCCAAGUUGGGGUUUCAAGGCUGCUGGUGCAGACAAGAAGGCUGAGGCAUGUAGUCCGUGGGCACUGGUAAAGAUCCCUGGAAAUGUUGUUGGGCUACAAGGCUGUUGUUUGACACCAGUAUAUGGACUUUCAAAGGCCUACGCUCAUAAAGUUGAUAUGGACUUCGAUGUUGCUCUGUGUAUGAAGGUCCAACUAUGGGUUAAAAGUCUGCUGUUCAACCACACUAUACUCCUUAUCCAUAUUUGCAUUUGGUUGCUUUAGACAUAUUUUUGGUCAAUCUCUUAGAUGAUAACAAGCUAAAAGGGCCAGAAAAGCUUUACUGAGUUGACGUCCAUGGUGGAGCUAUUGUCUAAGACUCUAAGUCACUUUUCACUUCUUUUUUUUGCCCUAUUUCUCUUUUUAUGCUGCCAACAAUUUUGUGAUAUAAUGUAGUUUUAGUGUUUUAUUUACGUUCAAAUCGUUGAAAAGAAUAAAGAUAUUUUUAAUUCU